rnacentral:rRNA from 1 species
CUACGUGCCAGCAGCCGCGGUAAUACGUAGGUGGCAAGCGUUGUCCGGAAUUAUUGGGCGUAAAGCGCGCGCAGGUGGUUUAAUAAGUCUGAUGUGAAAGCCCACGGCUCAACCGUGGAGGGUCAUUGGAAACUGUUAAACUUGAGUGCAGGAGAGAAAAGUGGAAUUCCUAGUGUAGCGGUGAAAUGCGUAGAGAUUAGGAGGAACACCAGUGGCGAAGGCGGCUUUUUGGCCUGUAACUGACACUGAGGCGCGAAAGCGUGGGGAGCAAACAGGAUUAGAUACCCUGGUAGUCCACGCCGUAAACGAUGAGUGCUAAGUGUUGGUCUCAUAAGAGAUCAGUGCUGCAGCUAACGCAUUAAGCACUCCGCCUGGGGAGUACGACCGCAAGGUUGAAACUCAAAGGAAUUGACGGGGGCCCGCACAAGCGGUGGAGUAUGUGGUUUAAUUCGACGCAACGCGAAGAACCUUACCAGGUCUUGACAU